AUUGAACGCUGGCGGCAUGCUUUACACAUGCAAGUCGAACGGUAACAGGCCGCAAGGUGCUGACGAGUGGCGAACGGGUGAGUAAUGCAUCGGAACGUGCCCAGUCGUGGGGGAUAACGCAGCGAAAGCUGCGCUAAUACCGCAUACGAUCUAUGGAUGAAAGCGGGGGACCGAAAGGCCUCGCGCGAUUGGAGCGGCCGAUGUCAGAUUAGGUAGUUGGUGGGGUAAAGGCUCACCAAGCAAACGAUCUGUAGCUGGUCUGAGAGGACGACCAGCCACACUGGGACUGAGACACGGCCCAGACUCCUAUGGGAGGCAGCAGUGGGGAAUUUAGGACAAUGGGCGCAAGCCUGAUCCAGCAAUGCCGCGUGCAGGAAGAAGGCCUUCGGGUUGUAAACUGCUUUUGUACGGAACGAAACGGUCCUGGUUAAUACCCGGGGCUAAUGACGGUACCGUAAGAAUAAGCACCGGCUAACUACGUGCCAGCCGCCGCAGUAAUAC
rnacentral:rRNA from 1 species